GACGAACGCUGGCGGCGUGCUUAACACAUGCAAGUCGAACGGAAAGGCCCUGCUUGCAGGGUACUCGAGUGGCGAACGGGUGAGUAACACGUGGGUGAUCUGCCCUGCACUUCGGGAUAAGCUUGGGAAACUGGGUCUAAUACCGGAUAGGACCUCACUUCAGUGUGUGUGGUGGAAAGUUUUUUCGGUCUAGGAUGAGCUCGCGGCCUAUCAGCUUGUUGGUGGGGUAAUGGCCUACCAAGGCGGCGACGGGUAGCCGGCCUGGGAGGGUGUACGGCCACAUUGGGACUGAGAUACGGCCCAGACUCCUACGGGUGGCAGCAGUGGGGAAUAUUGCACAAUAGGCGCCAGCCUGAUGCAGCGACGCCGCGUGGGGGAUGAAGGCCUUCGGGUUGUAAACUCCUUUCGCUAGGGACGAAGCUUUUUGUGACGGUACCUAGAUAAGAAGCACCGGCUAACUACGUG
rnacentral:rRNA from 1 species